UGCAUCGGCCGGGAAUCGAACCCAAUCGCCGCGUGGCAGGCGAGCAUUCUACCACUGAACCACCGAUGC